AUUAACUGAUGCUAUUAGAUGAAUUGAUAGAGGUUAAACAUUUUAACAUGAUAUUGGAGUUGCAAGUCUUAAUUUUGAAAGUCUUGAUGACCCAAAUUUUAGUUUACAUUGUUAUUUUAAAAAAAAUAUUUGGUAUUUGAAUAAACUGGUAGAGGCCAAAUGGUAUGUAUACUUCUGUAAAAAAUUUAGGAACAGUUGAUUUGAAAAUGAUGCAUAAUACUUGUAAAUUUAUAUUAAAAUAACCCUUUGGUACUCUUCCAUAUUGCUCUUUAUGUUAACUGAUACUGCAGAAAGUGAAAGUGAAAUAGAUAAAGAACCUCGAGUGAAGUGACAGGGUUGUGGUUGCAUGAAGUUGCUGAACCAGUAAGAGACAUCCUACCACCGAUUGGGACUUCUCAAUUGUUGCUUGCACAAAUCAUAGACAAAAAUAGUGAUUUAAUUGCGUAUUAUCGUUGUCAUCUUCUUUAUUGACAAUGAAUUUAAAGAAACAAUGAUUCACUUUCUACCCAUUUUCCUGCCACUUUAUUCAUAAUAUUUGAUGGGAAAGUUAAUCAUGGUGACUCUCAUUGUCCGAUUCUUAGUGGGAUGAAGAGUAUAAUUUCCAGAAGAAUGCCUCUUCAUUUUAUCUGCCCAAUAUCAUCUUCUGUUACCGGAAGAUGAGGCUUCUGUUGAAUCCCACCAAAUCUAAAGUGAAAUUUAUUUCAAGAAAUUGGUGUUAUGAUGGCAGAUAAGUUAGUUUUGCUUUGUCAUGCUUAAAGGAUAGCUGGUGGGAUGCUGUCUUUUGCAACAGUUUGUCUAAAAGAAGCUUGAGAGUCUAAAAGAAACUAAAUCAGUGUUUUGCUUCAUUUUUUGACAUUUCUAUUUUAGACCUAGAUUAAUUUGCAUCUUUUAAUUAGUGCAUCUAUCAUGUGCUAACAUUUAAUGUAGGGAAGACAUGAUAUUAAUUAGUUCACUCUGCAUCUAUGUAUGCUCUGAAAGUGGCCCCAGUGACAAAGACAUAAAGAUUGCUUGCAUAGAAUGCUGAAUCAUUUACCUAUCUAUUCUAUGGUUUUUGUGCAGUAAACUGUUGAAACCAAACAUCACAUUUUAGUGAAGAAAUCCAGGCAUUAUAGAUGGUGAACAUGAACUUGGGAUUUAGGGCAAGAAAGGCCUUUUUGUUCAUCUCCUGUGAACACGAACAUGGAAGAUGAAGAUAUGUUUCAUAAGCUCUGUGUUCUUGGUUUAGUUCCUUCAUUGCUUUUUGCAAACAGUGACUACUACUGUACAUUAGCGGAUGGACUGGGAACUGCUGCUAUGCUUUUGAAGCUUUACAAUUGUCACCGAGGAUGAUUGCUCUUCCUGUUUACAAAGGUUUCCUCUGCAACUUUUUGUAUGCAUCAGUGGAUUGGGUGAAUCCCAGUUUAGAGCAGCAGCAAGCAAUGCAGGACAAGCAGGUCUCCAUACACAUUCAAGUUUCUAAGAGAUGCAACAGUGUCUACCAUAAAUGAUUGGAUGUGAUGGAUCUCAGAUAAAGAGGAAGAAUGGACAAAGAUGCUGCAGCCGUUGUCUGUGGGUGAGGUGAGGGUGGUAGAUGCAGCUUCUGAGCUCUCAUGGGCUUUGCCACACAUGCAAUCUGCGUGAAACUUUUUUUGUCGGUCGCAAUCCAAUUAUGGUGAGGUAUAUGCUUACUUGUAACUCGUGGAAAAUGCCUGUCUUUUGUGGGAGGAAAAGGAACAUUCUUUGCUGUAUCCAGAAAGCUACUUGCUACCUUCCUCCAGUAUAUUGUAUUCAGCAAAUCCCAACAUUGUUCUCCUUCUUCUU